rnacentral:rRNA from 1 species
GCACAAGUAGCGGAGCAUGUGGUUUAAUUCGAAGCAACGCGAAGAACCUUACCAGGUCUUGACAUCCUCUGACGACGCUAGAGAUAGUGUUUUCCUUUCGGGGACAGAGAGACAGGUGGUGCAUGGUUGUCGUCAGCUCGUGUCGUGAGAUGUUGGGUUAAGUCCCGCAACGAGCGCAACCCUUGUGUUUAGUUGCCAGCGGUAAGGCCGGGCACUCUAAACAGACUGCCGUAGAUAAUACGGAGGAAGGUGGGGAUGACGUCAAAUCAUCAUGCCCCUUAUGACCUGGGCUACACACGUGCUACAAUGGGAUGUACAGAGGGUAGCGAAAUAGUGAUAUGGAGCCAAUCUCAAAAAACAUCUCUCAGUUCGGAUUGCAGGCUGCAACUCGCCUGCAUGAAGUCGGAGUUACUAGUAAUCGCAAAUCAGAAUGUUGCGGUGAAUGCGUUCCCGGGGUUUGUACACACCGCCCGUCACACCACGAAAGUCGGCAACACCCGAAGUCAGUGAGCUAACCAAACGGAAGCAGCUGCCUAAGGUGGGGUUGAUGAUUGGGGUG